AACGGAGAACUAGGGUUUUCGGGACUUGGCCGUACAAACAUCGCCGUUUUCCUUCAUGGGCAAUAAUGGCUUCUCAGACGAGCAAAAAGCGAAAGUUCGUUGCAGAUGGAUUUCUUCUGUUGGUGAUGAAUGAGUCGAUAUCUGAGUAAUUUAGUUGCCGACGGUGACGAUGAUCAUAGUUACUCGAUUCGAGGAUGUACUCGAAUAUCAGAUAUGCAUCAUUGACAGGCGGUAGCUGUUGCAGCACUGUUUUGGAGAGUGAUAUUGUUGCCUGUUUCCUCGAGCUCCAAGAAAUGUCGGUCAACCCAAAUAUAAAAUAGUUUCCUGUUGUACUUCGUCCAUUUGCUGCCUAGCCACCCCGAUCGCUAUCACUGUUCCUUUGAGGCUACGAUACAGAAUACCAAAGUUCAUUGUUCCUGCGAGAUACCAUAGGACUCUCUCUGCUGCUCCAAAGUGAUGUCGACUCAGAUUGUGCAUGAACCAUGAUAGAACUCGAACAACAAAGCUCACAUCUGUACAAGAAUGUGCGACAUAAAUGAGUCUGCCAAUUAGAUUCCUGUACAAGCUUGCAUCUGCUCUUUUAUGUUUCAUCAUGUGGUUUCAAUUUCUCACCUCUGUUCAUCGGAGUGUUUGAUAUUUUGCAAUUGAACAUGUUGAAUCUUUCCAACGUGUCUUUUACAUAUUUCCUUUGUGACAAAUAUUCCAUCUUUUGUUUGAUUAACUUCUAGUCUUAGGAAAUA